CGUUGAUGAAAGUCCCCUGAGUCAUUCUGUUUCAGUCAGCCAUUUUGUACGACGCGGCUGAAGUUGGUUGUUGUCUCUGUGUUAGUCGUCUAAAGAAAACCGUUUUAGAUUAAUUCAUACGUCGCCAACAAUCGCCUAUUAGCUGAAAAAAAUGGAGAACGAAGGUCAAAUUGACUUCAGCACGGAUGAAUUUCCCGAGGGGUCCAAAAUAAAUGCAAGCAAAAAUCUACAGGACGAUGGCAAAAUGUUCAUUGGUGGCCUCAGCUGGGAUACCAGCAAGAAAGAUCUCACAGAUUACCUGUCAAAGUUUGGAGAGGUCCUGGAUUGUACCAUCAAAACAGACCCCAUUACGGGACGGUCCCGGGGCUUUGGGUUCGUCCUCUUCAAAGAUGCAGACAGCGUGGAGAGGGUGUUGGAGCUGAAAGAACAUAAAUUGGAUGGGAAGCUUAUUGAUCCUAAGAGAGCCAAAGCAAUGAAGGGCAAGGAGCCUCCUAAGAAAGUGUUUGUUGGAGGGCUGAGCCCAGAGACCUCGGAGGACCAGAUCCGAGAUUACUUUGGCACAUUUGGAGAUAUCGACAGCAUUGAACUGCCAAUGGACACCAAAACCAAUGAGAGGAGGGGUUUCUGUUUUGUGACAUACUUGGAGGAGGAACCUGUCCAGAAACUUCUGGAGAAUCGUUACCAUCAAGUUGGGUCUGGAAAGUGUGAAAUCAAAGUUGCCCAGCCCAAAGAAGUUUACAGACAACAGCAGCAACACAGAGGGGACAGGGGUAACUACGGAGGAAGAGGGGGAUCCAGAGGGCGUGGCAGAGGUCAAAGUAACAGCUACGGUCAGGGCUACAACAACUACUAUGGCCAGAAUUAUGGUGGUUAUGGGAAUGGAUACAACACAGGAUACAAUGGCUACCCUGGCUAUGAUUAUUCUACUAACUACAACUACAAUACCUAUGGCUAUGGACAGAGCUACGACGACUACAAUGGCCAGCAAAGCAGUUAUGGCAAAGCUUCACGGGAAGGUGGAAACCACCAGAACAACUACCAGCCAUACUGAUCAGAAAUCUAGACCUGCUGAAAUAAUUUUGUGAGGACUUCAUUGCAGGCCGUGUGUCACCUGACCACGACAUUCUCUGGGCGUCGCACAUAGCGGGCAGAGAGCACGGCAUGCACAAGAAAACGCUGUCCUGUGAUGGGCAGGUCGACUGAGAGUUCAACUGUGUACCCUGGUGGCAGCUCGGGGAUUCUUGUCCUUUUUUAAUCAAAUCAUUCUUUUAAGCUUUAUUUUGUUAUCUACAGAAGUUGUUGACACGCCAUGUGCCCAACUGUAAAUAGGGAGAUGUUCCUGAAUUUUUUUUCAUUGUGCUUUGCGUAUAUGGGUGUUGUGAUCUGUCAUUCUGUUCUGGAUUGUUUCUUUUUGUUUUGUGUUUUUUUUUUUUUUUUUUCCUUCCAGUU